rnacentral:misc_RNA from 1 species
GAUGAAGAACGCAGCGAAAUGCGAUAAGUAAUGUGAAUUGCAGAAUUCAGUGAAUCAUCGAAUCUUUGAACGCACAUUGCGCCCCCUGGUAUUCCGGGGGGCAUGCCUGUCCGAGCGUCAUUACAACCCUCAAGCUCAGCUUGGUAUUGGGCCCCGCCGCUCCGGCGGGCCCUAAAGUCAGUGGCGGUGCCGUCCGGCUCCGAGCGUAGUAAUUCUUCUCGCUCUGGAGGUCCGGUCGUGUGCUCGCCAGCAACCCCCAAUUUUUUUCAGGUUGACCUCGGAUCAGGUAGGGAUACCCGCUGAACUUAAGCAUAUCAAUAAGCGGAGA